AGAGUUUGAUCAUGGCUCAGAUUGAACGCUGGCGGCAUGCCUUACACAUGCAAGUCGAACGGUAACAGGUUAAGCUGACGAGUGGCGAACGGGUGAGUAAUGUAUCGGAACGUGCCCAGUCGUGGGGGAUAACUGCUCGAAAGAGCAGCUAAUACCGCAUACGACCUGAGGGUGAAAGCGGGGGAUCGCAAGACCUCGCGCGAUUGGAGCGGCCGAUAUCAGAUUAGGUAGUUGGUGAGGUAAAGGCUCACCAAGCCGACGAUCUGUAGCUGGUCUGAGAGGACGACCAGCCACACUGGGACUGAGACACAGCCCAGACUCCUACGGGAGGCAGCAGUGGGGAAUUUUGGACAAUGGGCGCAAGCCUGAUCCAGCCAUGCCGCGUGCGGGAAGAAGGCCUUCGGGUUGUAAACCGCUUUUGUCAGGGAAGAAAAGGUUCUGGCUAAUACCUGGGACUCAUGACGGUACCUGAAGAAUAAGCACCGGCUAACUACGUGCCAGCAGCCGCGGUAAUACGUAGGGUGCAAGCGUUAAUCGGAAUUACUGGGCGUAAAGCGUGCGCAGGCGGUUAUGCAAGACAGAGGUGAAAUCCCCGGGCUCAACCUGGGAACUGCCUUUGUGACUGCAUGGCUAGAGUACGGUAGAGGGGGAUGGAAUUCCGCGUGUAGCAGUGAAAUGCGUAGAUAUGCGGAGGAACACCGAUGGCGAAGGCAAUCCCCUGGACCUGUACUGACGCUCAUGCACGAAAGCGUGGGGAGCAAACAGGAUUAGAUACCCUGGUAGUCCACGCCCUAAACGAUGUCAACUGGUUGUUGGGAGGGUUUCUUCUCAGUAACGUAGCUAACGCGUGAAGUUGACCGCCUGGGGAGUACGGCCGCAAGGUUGAAACUCAAAGGAAUUGACGGGGACCCGCACAAGCGGUGGAUGAUGUGGUUUAAUUCGAUGCAACGCGAAAAACCUUACCUACCCUUGACAUGUCUGGAAUCCUGAAGAGAUUUGGGAGUGCUCGAAAGAGAGCCAGAACACAGGUGCUGCAUGGCCGUCGUCAGCUCGUGUCGUGAGAUGUUGGGUUAAGUCCCGCAACGAGCGCAACCCUUGUCAUUAGUUGCUACGAAAGGGCACUCUAAUGGGACUGCCGGUGACAAACCGGAGGAAGGUGGGGAUGACGUCAGGUCAUCAUGGCCCUUAUGGGUAGGGCUACACACGUCAUACAAUGGCCGGGGCGGAGGGCUGCCAACCCGCGAGGGGGAGCUAAUCCCAGAAACCCGGUCGUAGUCCGGAUCGUAGUCUGCAACUCGACUGCGUGAAGUCGGAAUCGCUAGUAAUCGCGGAUCAGCUUGCCGCGGUGAAUACGUUCCCGGGUCUUGUACACACCGCCCGUCACUCCAUGGGAGCGGGUUCUGCCAGAAGUAGUUAGCCUAACCGCAAGGGGGGCGAUUACCACGGCAGGGUUCGUGACUGGGGUGAAGUCGUAACAAGGUAGCCGUA
rnacentral:rRNA from 1 species